GACGAACGCUGGCGGCGUGCUUAACACAUGCAAGUCGAGCGGUAAGGCCCUUUCAGGGGUACACGAGCGGCGAACGGGUGAGUAACACGUGGGUGACCUGCCCUUAGCUCUGGGAUAAGCCUGGGAAACUGGGUCUAAUACCGGAUAUGACUCCAUGACGCAUGUUGUGGGGUGGAAAGCCUUGUGCGGCUAGGGAUGGGCCCGCGGCCUAUCAGCUUGUUGGUGGGGUGAUGGCCACCAAGGCGACGACGGGUAGCCGGCCUGAGAGGGCGACCGGCCACACUGGGACUGAGACACGGCCCAGACUCCUACGGGAGGCAGCAGUGGGGAAUCUUGCGCAAUGGGCGAAAGCCUGACGCAGCGACGCUGCGUGAGGGAUGAC
rnacentral:rRNA from 1 species